rnacentral:rRNA from 1 species
CCUACGGGAGGCAGCAGUGAGGAAUAUUGGUCAAUGGUCGGGAGACUGAACCAGCCAAGCCGCGUGAGGGAUGAAGGUACAGAGUAUCGUAAACCUCUUUUGUCAGGGAACAAAGGCGGGGACGUGUCCCGGAUGAGUGUAACUGAAGAAAAAGCAUCGGCUAACUCCGUGCCAGCAGCCGCGGUAAUUAGGAGGAUGCGAGCGUUAUCCGGAUUUAUUGGGUUUAAAGGGUGCGGAAGCGGGUCGUUAAGUCAGCGGGGAAAGCCCCGGGGCUCACCCCCGCCCCGCCGUUGAGACUGGCAGUCUCGAGUUGGAGAGAAGUAGGCGGAAUGCGGGGUGUAGCGGUGAAAUGCAUAGAGAUCGCACAGAACUCCGAUUGCGAAGGCAGCAUGCCGGCUCCACACUGACGCUGAGGCACGAAAGCGUGGGUAUCGAACAGGAUUAGAUACCCCAGUAGUC